UACUUGAGGUUUUCACCUUGCUCUACAUAAGCAAGGCCCACUGGCUCUAGGUCUGUGUGGGAAAGACCCCACGAUUCCCAUCCCCAGCAGGAGAGAUGUUAUGUGCCUGAAGUGAUUCCUUAAUCACAGGAUGCAAUAUGAGUCUCUGGAAAGACAAAGGCAGUCUGAACUGUGGAAGCAGAGCUGCUCUCUAGGAGUUUUGAUAAAGAUAGCCUGAACAAUGAAUGUGGACUACAAAGCAAACAUGUGGAAGAUGAAAGUUAAAUGAGGUGAAGCCCAAGCAUAAUCCUUAGCACUUCAGAAUACUGGUAAGUUUGAGUGUUUGUGGUAAAUUGAUGUGUAAGUGGAUGCUGGAAAUCCAUCCUUCUGGUGACUUGGCCUAGUUAGCAAGGAGAAGAAAAGAAGGAAGUGCUGAUGACUGAUGCAAAUUUAUACCUGCCCUUUAUGAUGUGCCUUUCUUCCAUGUCUUAGUGGGCUCCACUUUGCUAUGGGACACUUGUGUAACAGAAGAACUGGUUUACAUUUUUGCCUGUUUUUUCCAAAGCAACACCAGCUGAUGUGAUCCACCCCAAUAAACAUUAGCUAACUGUUCCAAUAUGUUCUGUGUGGGGUGUAGUCUAAACCAGAAAAUGAUGCAAAAUACUGCAUCCCACGUCCCAGGCAAGAGCCAUGGCCAAAUUGGUGCGUGAUUUAUGCACCAACGGCAACAGCAGCCCAAGGAGCACUAAGGUCAGCAUGAAUCUUUCCACUGAUUUCAAAAAGCAUCAUCUCAAGCCGCCUGAGAAAAUGUUAGGCACUGAUUUUACCCCAGAAGUGAACAUGGAUUAUGAAACAUUUCUGAGAGCCUGACUCCUUUCUCUUAUUCAAUCUGGUGUUGAACAAUCCCAAACCAGAGAUGUCCUGGCUCAAGAGAGGUGGCGUUGCCUGGCUGCAAACGGAGCCAAACCUUCGGUAUUUUCCAUUUGUCUCAGUCUCCAAGAUGUGAAGCUUUCCCUGGCCCUUGGGUAGAGAAUGCAGGUUAGUCCUUCCAUGUGGAGUCAACACUUGUUGAUCUGCUUUCCAGUUUGCAUUGCUUGUUUUUCCAUUAAAGGAGGAAAGAAAGGCAAAUUAGAUCACUUUUUGGAAGGAGGGGGAACUGAAUUGUUGUUCUUACCUACUUCA